UACGUAUGGUGCAAGCGUUAUCCGGAAUUAUUGGGCGUAAAGAGCUCGUAGGCGGUUUGUCGCGUCUGCUGUGAAAACUGGGGGCUCAACCCCCAGCCUGCAGUGGGUACGGGCAGACUAGAGUGCGGUAGGGGAGAUUGGAAUUCCUGGUGUAGCGGUGGAAUGCGCAGAUAUCAGGAGGAACACCGAUGGCGAAGGCAGAUCUCUGGGCCGUAACUGACGCUGAGGAGCGAAAGCAUGGGGAGCGAACAGG
rnacentral:rRNA from 1 species